AGAGUUUGAUCCUGGCUCAGGAUGAACGCUGGCGGCGUGCUUAACACAUGCAAGUCGAACGAUCCGCAAGGAUAGUGGCGAACGGGUGAGUAAUGCACAGGAAUCUGCCCCUCAAUCUCGCAUAGCCCACCGAAAGGUGGGGUAAUACGAGAUAGUCUCGCAAGAGUAAAGGCGUAAGCCGUUGAGGGAGGAGCCUGUGUCCUAUCAGCUUGUUGGCGGGGUAACAGCCCACCAAGGCGACGACGGGUAGCUGGUCUGAGAGGAUGAUCAGCCACAAUGGGACUGAGACACGGCCCAUACUCCUACGGGAGGCAGCAGUGAGGAAUCGUGCACAAUGGGCGAAAGCCUGAUGCCGCGACGCCGCGUGGAGGAAGACGGCCUUCGGGUUGUAAACUCCUUUUGUACGGGAAGAUUGUGACGGUACCGUACGAAUAAGCACCGGCUAACUACGUGCCAGCAGCCGCGGUAAGACGUAGGGUGCAAGCGUUAUCCGGAUUUAUUGGGCGUAAAGAACACGUAGGCGGCUACGUAAGUCACUUUUUAAAGACCGCAGCUCAACUGCGGGACUGAGAGUGAUACUGCGUGGCUUAGAGGUCACCAGGGGCAAGUGGAAUAUGCGGUGUAGGAGUGAAAUCCGUUGAUAUCGCAUAGAACACCAAUGGCGAAGGCAGCUUGCUAGGGUGAAUCUGACGCUGAGGUGUGAAAGCGUGGGGAGCGAACGGGAUUAGAUACCCCGGUAGUCCACGCCGUAAACGAUGCAGACUAGCUAUCAGGAGUAUCGACCCUUCUUGUAGCGAAGCUAACGCGUGAAGUCUGCCGCCUGGGAAGUACGGCCGCAAGGCUAAAACUCAAAGGAAUUGACGGGGGCCCGCACAAGCGGUGGAGCAUGUGGUUUAAUUCGACAGUAAGCGAUAACCUUACCCAGUCUUGACAUCCACGGAAUGCCCUAGAGAUAGGGCAGUGCCCGCAAGGGAACCGUGAGACAGGUGCUGCACGGUUGUCGUCAGCUCGUGUCGUGAGAUGUACCGUUAAGUCGGCUAACGAGCGAAACCUAUGUCCUGUGUUGUAUUUUUCACAGGAGACUGCCUCGGUUUACGGGGAGGAAGGUGUAGAUGACGUCAAAUCAGCGUGGCCCUUACGACUGGGGCUACACACGUGCUACAAUGGCGGCUAACAAAGGGUUUGCUAAGUCGCAAGACGGAGCUAAUCCCAUCAAACGCCGUCUCAGUUCGGAUUGAAGGCUGCAACUCGCCUUCAUGAAGCCGGAAUCGCUAGUAACCGUGAAUCAGCGCGUCACGGUGAAUACGUUCUCGGGCCUUGUACACACCGCCCGUCAAGCCAGGGAAGCUGGAAAUACCCGAAGCUCGCGUAGCGAACCACGGUAGGUUCAGUGACCAGGGCUAAGUCGUAACAAGGUAUCCGUAGGGGAAUCUGCGGAUG
rnacentral:rRNA from 1 species